rnacentral:rRNA from 1 species
GCAAGUCUGGUGCCAGCAGCCGCGGUAAUUCCAGCUCCAAUAGCGUAUAUUAAAGUUGUUGCAGUUAAAAAGCUCGUAGUUGAACCUUGGGUCUGGCUGGCCGGUCCGCCUCACCGCGAGUACUGGUCCGGCUGGACCUUUCCUUCUGGGGAACCUCAUGGCCUUCACUGGCUGUGGGGGGAACCAGGACUUUUACUGUGAAAAAAUUAGAGUGUUCAAAGCAGGCCUUUGCUCGAAUACAUUAGCAUGGAAUAAUAGAAUAGGACGUGCGGUUCUAUUUUGUUGGUUUCUAGGGCCGCCGUAAUGAUUAAUAGGGAUAGUCGGGGGCGUCAGUAUUCAGCUGUCAGAGGUGAAAUUCUUGGAUUUGCUGAAGACUAACUACUGCGAAAGCAUUUGCCAA